CAUAGCGACUAUCGUGGCAUAUCAAUAAGCGGAGGAAAAGAAACUAACAAGGAUUCCCCUAGUAACGGCGAGUGAAGCGGGAAGAGCUCAAAUUUGAAAUCUUAAAGGGUUUCCCUUUACGAAUUGUAGUUUAAAGAAGUGUUUUCCGUUGGAGUUUCGGUAAAAGUUCUUUGGAAUAGGACAUCAUAGAGGGUGAGAAUCCCGUAUUUGACCGUUAUUUUCAGCUGUGUGAUACACUUUCAAAGAGUCGGAUUGUUUGGGAAUGCAGUCCAAAAUGGGUGGCUAAAUUUCAUCUAAAGCUAAAUAUUGGCGAGAGACCGAUAGCGAACAAGUACCGUGAGGGAAAGAUGAAAAGAACUUUGAAAAGAGAGUUAAACAGUACGUGAAAUUGUCAAAAGGGAAGCGUUUGACACCAGUGUUGUUUAGUUCCGAAAAUCAAUUCACUAAUUUUUGAUUUUAAGUAGUUAUGACUUCAUCAGCUUGCUGCUCUCUUUACAGGAACUUUCUUGAAUGCACUUUUCAGUUAACAAGUCAACAUCAAUUUCUUUUGUUGUAAAAGGGUAAGAGGAAGGUGGCUUACGCUUCGGCGUAAGUGUUUAUAGCCUUUGACCUCUGCAAUCGGAGAGAUUGAGGUACUGCAGCGUAGACUCUUCGGGGUUAGAUACACUUGUGCUAAGCUAUAGCCUUGUAUAGACAACUUGUUGACUAUGCUCUAGUCAUGUAGCUUACUCGCUUAUGCUAUUUUACCUACGCUUAGGAUGUUGACGCGCGUGUGUGCGUG
rnacentral:rRNA from 1 species